CUCCUCCUCCUCCUCCUCCUCCUCCUCCUCCUCCUCCUCCUCCUCCUCCUCCUCAUCCUCAUCCUGCUGUAGGGGCCACUUUCACUGCAUGACGAGUUGAAGAAAGUAGUCAACACUAGGCUAGCCACGCAUCUGAUGCAGGCAGCGACGCCAACAUCUUCACCAGAUCUGCAGCCACUUCGAAUUGAACCACGGCAAUGAGGAAAGCGACCCGGUCAACGGUUCCACGACGAGACGAGACGCAUCUACCGAACUCGAGCUCCGUCGGUAUCCUGGAGGAGAUCUCAGUCAAGCCCUUCCACACACACACAGCCCAUCCACACACACUUUGUUACACCCUACUAACAUUCUUCAAUUCAGCAAUUGUUAUUUCAAAAAUUAUAAUUCUAAAAUUCCAAACUUCUAAAAUUCUAAAUUUCUAACAUUCUAAAAUUCUAAAAAACAGAAAUUCUAAAAUUCUAAAAUUCAAAAAUUCGAAAAUUCUAAAACUCUAAAAUUCUAAAAU